UCUAAUAUGGCAGAUUAGUGCAAUGGGUUUAAGCUCCAUAUAUAAAGUAUUUUACUUUUAUUAGAAACGA
rnacentral:tRNA from 1 species